rnacentral:lncRNA from 1 species
CCCACCUACUCUAUGCCCCUCUUCUACAAUGGAUGAACUGCUGGAGGUGCAGCCCACGUACUGGCAAGCAAAUCAUCCUUGGUUUUGAGGAGGACUACUGCAACAGAGAUAAAAAGGAUUUCCCAUGAGUGGAAGCCUUCUCUGUUGGGAUACCAACAGGUACAGGAAAUCAGUAUGAGGGCUUCAGAGGCUUCAGCUUCACCAAAAAGCAGAAUGUCUCUUUUUUUCUCCACUGCCAGAAAAAGAAGUGGAGA